UAUUCUUAAAAGCUGUAUGCUUAAUUUUUCUUUUGUCAAUUGCAUCAUUUAUUCUUCUUUGUAUGAAAUCCUUAUUCGUACUUUUUAUUGCAUUGCAGGUCUGUUAGCAAAAAGAAAUAGGUGAGAUUUCUGCAGGUCUGUUAACAAAAAGAAAUAGGUUGUGUUGGUUGAAGUUUUUAGGGUUGGGUUAUUGUUGGAUUGCUUGCUUUUCGUAAGGCAGCGUAGUGAAGUUUUAGCGAGAUUUUAUUGCUUUUGUGAAGUUAUAACUGUAAUCCAAAGAAGGUAGUGGCAAAUUGCUUUUGUGAAGCAUAGUAUUUUGUAUGAAAAGGAGGUUGGAGGCUCAUCAAUCCUCAAAGUUCUUCUUUCAGCUGAUGUACAGAAAGAUAGAGACAAAUGCCAACAAACAAAUUGAUGAUUAGAACUGAUGGGCCGUUUAGAAUAUAUGGGCCGUUUAGAACUGAUGUUGAUUAUUAGAACUGUGAUGUUGAUGAUUAGAACUGUGAUGUUGAUGAUUAGGUUCUGAUGUUGAUGAUUAGAACUAUGUACA